GUGGAUUAGAUACCCGGGUAGUCCUAGCCGUAAACGAUGGGUACUAGGUGUUGGAGGAUUCUACCCCUUCAGUGCCGCAGCUAAUGCAUUAAGUACCCCACCUGGGGAGUACGAUCGCAAGGUUGAAACUCAAAGGAAUUGACGGGGGCCCGCACAAGCGGUGGAGCAUGUGGUUUAAUUCGAUGCAACGCGAAGAACCUUACCUAGGCUUGACAUGCAGGGGACAGGUGUAGAAAUACAUCCUUCCUUCGGGACCCUUGCACAGGUGCUGCACGGCCGUCGUCAACU
rnacentral:rRNA from 1 species